GACGAACGCUGGCGGCGUGCUUAACACAUGCAAGUCGAACGGAAAGGCCCUGCUUUUGUGGGGUGCUCGAGUGGCGAACGGGUGAGUAACACGUGAGUAACCUGCCCUUGACUUUGGGAUAACUUCAGGAAACUGGGGCUAAUACCGGAUAGGAGCUCCUGCUGCAUGGUGGGGGUUGGAAAGUUUCGGCGGUUGGGGAUGGACUCGCGGCUUAUCAGCUUGUUGGUGGGGUAGUGGCUUACCAAGGCUUUGACGGGUAGCCGGCCUGAGAGGGUGACCGGCCACAUUGGGACUGAGAGACGGCCCAGACGGCUACGGGAGGCAGCAGGGGGGAAUAUUGCAGAAUGGGCGGAAGCCUGAUGCAGCAACGCCGCGUGCGGGAUGACGGCCUUCGGGUUGUAAACCGAUUUCGACUGUGACGAAGCGUAAGUGACGGUAAUGGGUAAAGAAGCACCGGCUAACUACGUG
rnacentral:rRNA from 1 species